rnacentral:rRNA from 1 species
UACGGAGGGUGCGAGCGUUGUCCGGAAUCAUUGGGCGUAAAGGGCGCGUAGGUGGCCCGGUCAGUCCGUGGUGAAAGCGCGGGGCUCAACCCCGCGUCGGCCAUGGAUACUGCUGGGCUGGAGCACUGUAGAGGCAGGCGGAAUUCCGGGUGUAGCGGUGGAAUGCGUAGAGAUCCGGAAGAACACCGGUGGCGAAGGCGGCCUGCUGGGCCAGUUGCUGACACUGAGGCGCGACAGCGUGGGGAGCA